UACGUAGGGUGCAAGCGUUGUCCGGAAUUAUUGGGCGUAAAGAGCUCGUAGGCGGUUUGUUGCGUCGGCUGUGAAAUCCCGAGGCUCAACCUCGGGUCUGCAGUCGAUACGAGCAAACUAGAGUGUUGCAGGGGAGACUGGAAUUCCUGGUGUAGCGGUGAAAUGCGCAGAUAUCAGGAGGAACACCGGUGGCGAAGGCGGCUUGCUGGGCCAGUUCUGACGCUGAGGAGCGAAAGCGUGGGGAGCGAACAGG
rnacentral:rRNA from 1 species